rnacentral:rRNA from 1 species
UGGGGAAUAUUGGACAAUGGGCGAAAGCCUGAUCCAGCCAUGCCGCGUGUGUGAAGAAGGUCUUCGGAUUGUAAAGCACUUUAAGUUGGGAGGAAGGGCAGUUACCUAAUACGUAUCUGUUUUGACGUUACCGACAGAAUAAGCACCGGCUAACUCUGUGCCAGCAGCCGCGGUAAUACAGAGGGUGCAAGCGUUAAUCGGAAUUACUGGGCGUAAAGCGCGCGUAGGUGGUUUGUUAAGUUGGAUGUGAAAUCCCCGGGCUCAACCUGGGAACUGCAUUCAAAACUGACAAGCUAGAGUAUGGUAGAGGGUGGUGGAAUUUCCUGUGUAGCGGUGAAAUGCGUAGAUAUAGGAAGGAACACCAGUGGCGAAGGCGACCACCUGGACUGAUACUGACACUGAGGUGCGAAAGCGUGGGGAGCAAAACAGGAUUAGAUACCCUUGUGUCCCUGAGCGGGCUGGCAAGGCGCAU